CACAGUGACUGCCCUGGCUUUCUUUGCUUUGCCUCCUGUCUGUGUUUGAAAUCCCGAAAUCACCGCCUUGAGCUCUGAAGCCCAGCGGCUCCGAGGCUGCAAGCCUCUCCGCUGGCCCCAGAUGUGCAGCAUGCAGCUUGAAUCUCUGAGGACUCUGGUGGUGGAUGCCAACUCCAACUCACAGUGGGAAUCUGGCCCACAGGACCCAGCCUGCCACCCUCCAGGGAGCCGUGGAGAUUUCAGGAUUUCUCCUCUGCGAAAUGGGGAUAACAGCUCCCUCUUCAUCCGGUUAUGGUCAGGGCUGACCUAAGGGGGCUGAGGGUGAAGGCCACAGGCUGAGAAGCUCUUGCCAGUGGUCAGUGAGGAGCAGCAAAUUCGGGUCUUGGCACUUGAACUGUGGGAGGAUCAAUGCUGCUUGAAGCCAUCGGUUUCUGGGAAUUUGUCACAGCAGCCCAGGAAACACAUGCAGAAGGAGUCACCCUCUUUGGUUUCUGAAAUGCGGACACACGUUACAAUGGAAACGAGCACUUGGGGCUCCCUGUCUCGGAAAAGUUGUUGAAUCAAUGCACGUUGAUUGCUUCAGCAAUCUAGGAAAUACUAUCCCAACAAAGCAAUUUGAAAUUCCAAACCUGUGACCACUGGACAAGAUCACCUUUCUCCCACUGAGAAGAAGAUCAGCGUUGGCUCGGGCCAAGUCUGGGAGACAGACAAGGCCUCCUUUCAACAUCGUGCCUCCAGGGGAACCAGGCCAAGUAUCGGCCCUCCAGAGACAGCUGCAGCCCUUGGAGGCCUCCCCACUGAGUCCACACCCCUGGCCCAGGGCACUCAGGCUAGCUGACCGGCCCUGCUCCCUGGCCAGCCUCAUUUCCUCCUGUUCUCUUGCUUGGUGCCCCUAGCAGCCGUCUUGCACCUGGCCACUGCUUCCCACGCCAGGGCCUUUGCCUUUGCUGUUCCCCUGCCUGGCAUGGUCUCGUCAUUCAGGGCUCAGCCUGAAUGUCACCUCCUCCUGGAAGCCUUACCCUCAUCUCGUUAUGUCCUACCCCAUCACCCUAUUUCUUUCCCUUGGGUCACCAGUAAGAACCUGGGUUGAGCUUGUGCAGCCGUCUCAUUGUCUUAGCCUCACGAAACUGUAAACCCUUUGACAAAAGGGAUCUGUCUGGUUUGUUUGACGUGUAACCCCAGCUUCCAGCCUAGCACAGAGAAAGCUCCAUGGAGACACUGACUGUCAGAUGACUGCAGACCUCCCCACAAGGAGGAGGGAAGCUGGCCUCCAAGGAGGCGCAUCCCACAGUGCAGUGGUCUCUGGCCAGGGUGGGUCAUUACGCCAUUGGUUUAUAGCGCCAUUUGCUUCGGCCCCUUUUGGUGGCAUCCCAGGGUUUAAAGUGACCAGGCAGCUAGUGUGGGGAGACGGGACACAGCUGUCUGAGGUCAGGGGGUCUGUAUGUGCCUCUCCGGCAGGGAACAGCCUCGGCCGUCAGAAGCCAGGUUUCAGCAUUUAGGAUGCAGCCAACAGCCAAAUUGCUUUCUUGGUUUUAUAUAUAAGGGCUUUUUUUGGUACCAUAAGGGCGGGUGGACAGGGCUGCCUUUGCUUCCUGGAGGGUCUGGUUCCUUUCGGGGAAGGUCUCAGUUGGCCACUGGAGUAACAGCACUGCGUCGGCCCAUGUGGCCAGCCAGCAUCCCUGUGCUCAUGGCUAAGGACAGGCUGUUACUCUGUUCUGCGGGUCUUGAAGUCAUUUGGUCAAGUGGACUUCAGAAGGAGAGAGAGAGAAGGACAGACAGCAUCCAUGGAGACUGCCACAGAGAAUGGAAAGAGAAUGGGAUCUGCAGUCUGAUGGGCUGGCAUAUCUCAGCAGCAGCAACAACAACACAAUAAUAUGGAAUUCAGUCCAGGCACGGUGGUUCCCGCCU
rnacentral:lncRNA from 1 species